UACGUAGGGUGCAAGCGUUGUCCGGAAUUAUUGGGCGUAAAGAGCUCGUAGGCGGUUUGUUGCGUCGGCUGUGAAAACCCGGGGCUCAACUCCGGGCCUGCAGCCGAUACGGGCAGACUAGAGUUCGGCAGGGGAGACUGGAAUUCCUGGUGUAGCGGUGGAAUGCGCAGAUAUCAGGAGGAACACCGGUGGCGAAGGCGGGUCUCUGGGCAGUAACUGACGCUGAGGAGCGAAAGCGUGGGGAGCGAACAGG
rnacentral:rRNA from 1 species